UAUGCACGCUGGCGGCGUGCCUAAUACAUGCAAGUCGAGCGAACAGACGAGGAGCUUGCUCCUCUGACGUUAGCGGCGGACGGGUGAGUAACACGUGGAUAACCUACCUAUAAGACUGGGAUAACUUCGGGAAACCGGAGCUAAUACCGGAUAAUAUAUUGAACCGCAUGGUUCAAUAGUGAAAGACGGUUUUGCUGUCACUUAUAGAUGGAUCCGCGCCGCAUUAGCUAGUUGGUAAGGUAACGGCUUACCAAGGCAACGAUGCGUAGCCGACCUGAGAGGGUGAUCGGCCACACUGGAACUGAGACACGGUCCAGACUCCUACGGGAGGCAGCAGUAGGGAAUCUUCCGCAAUGGGCGAAAGCCUGACGUAGCAACGCCGCGUGAGUGAUGAAGGUCUUCGGAUCGUAAAACUCUGUUAUUAUGGAAGAACAAAUGUGUAAGUAACUAUGCACGUCUUGACGGUACCUAAUCAGAAAGCCACGGCUGACUACGUG
rnacentral:rRNA from 1 species